GACGAACGCUGGCGGCGUGCUUAACACAUGCAAGUCGAGCGGUAAGGCCCUUUCGGGGGUACACGAGCGGCGAACGGGUGAGUAACACGUGGGUGACCUGCCCUCAGCUCUGGGAUAAGCCUGGGAAACUGGGUCUAAUACCGGAUAUGACUCCAUGACGCAUGUUGUGGGGUGGAAAGCCUUGUGCGGCUGAGGAUCGGGCCCGCGGCCUAUCAGUCUUGUUGGUGGGGUGAUGGCCUACCAAGGCGACGACGGGUAGCCGGCCUGAGAGGGCGACCGGCCACACUGGGACUGAGAUACGGCCCAGACUCCUACGGGAGGCAGCAGUGGGGAAUAUUGCGCAAUGGGCGGAAGCCUGACGCAGCGACGCCGCGUGGGGAUGACGGCCUCGGU
rnacentral:rRNA from 1 species